rnacentral:pre_miRNA from 9 species
UAUCGAUAGCGUAAAAGUUAACUCAAAUUUGUAUCGAGCUGGACAGUUUGCCUACGUUUGCCGCUAGGGUCGCUGUUCCAACUGUAUACAAGUUCGAGUUAACUUUUACGCUAUCGA